GACGAACGCUGGCGGCGUGCUUAACACAUGCAAGUCGAACGGAAAGGCCCUGCUUUUGUGGGGGGCUCGAGUGGCGAACGUGUGUGUAACACGUGAGUAACCUGCCCUUGACUUUGGGAUAACUUCAGGAAACUGGGGCUAAUACCGGAUAGGCGCUCCUGCUGCAUGGUGGGGGUUGGAAAGUUUCGGCGGUUGGGGAUGGACUCGCGGCUUAUCAGCUUGUUGGUGGGGUAGUGGCUUACCAAGGCUUUGACGGGUAGCCGGCCUGAGAGGGUGACCGGACACAUUGGGACUGAGAUACGGCCCAGACUCCUACGGGAGGCAGCAGUGGGGAAUAUUGCACAAUGGGCGGAAGCCUGAUGCAGCAACGCCGCGUGAGGGAUGACGGCCUUCGGGUUGUAAACCGCUUUCGCCUGUGACGAAGCGUGAGUGACGGUAAUGGGUAAAGAAGCACCGGCUAACUACGUG
rnacentral:rRNA from 1 species